UACAGAGGGGGCAAGCGUUGUUCGGAAUUACUGGGCGUAAAGGGCGCGUAGGCGGCCUGUUAAGUCGACCGUGAAAUCCCCGGGCUCAACCCGGGAACUGCGUCCGAUACUGGCAGGCUUGAAUCCGGGAGAGGGAUGCGGAAUUCCAGGUGUAGCGGUGAAAUGCGUAGAUAUCGGGAGGAACACCAGUGGCGAAGGCGGCGAUCUGGGAAGAUACUGACGCUGAGGUGCGAAAGCGUGGGGAGCAAACAGG
rnacentral:rRNA from 1 species